rnacentral:rRNA from 1 species
UACGAAGGGGCUAGCGUUGCUCGGAAUCACUGGGCGUAAAGCGCACGUAGGCGGAUCUUUAAGUCAGGGGUGAAAUCCCAAGGCUCAACCUUGGAACUGCCUUUGAUACUGGGGAUCUCGAGUCCGGAAGAGGUUGGUGGAACUGCGAGUGUAGAGGUGAAAUUCGUAGAUAUUCGCAAGAACACCGGUGGCGAAGGCGGCCAACUGGACCAUUACUGACGCUGAGGCGCGAAAGCGUGGGGAGCAAACAGG